rnacentral:lncRNA from 1 species
UAGAGUUAUAGCUAGAUAAAGGAUUAAGUGUAGGUUUAGGUCCAGUGUUACGGUAAGGAUUAGUUAUAGGGUUACAGGUAGUGCCAAUCUUAGGGGUUGGUUUAGGGUUAGGGUCAGGUUUAGACCUAUGGUUAGUGUUAGGGUAAGAAUAAGAGUCAGGGUUAUGGUGAGGAUAUGGGAUAGUGGUAGAGCUACAUUGAGGUUUAGGGUUAGGACUUGUAAUAUAGUUUGGUUUCCGGUUAGGCUAAGAACUAGGUUUAGGACAAGGGUAGCUUUAGGGUUAUAGUUUGGCUUAGGGUAAGGGAUAGGGUUAGAGCUUGGAUUAGGGCUAGGCUAGGUUUUGUGUUAGCUUUAGGGCUACGGCUAAUGUAAGAACUAGGGUUACACUUAGGACUAGUUUUAGGGUUAGUAUUACGUCUAGGUUUAGUGUUUGGUUAUGUUUAGGGUUAAGGUUAUGUUUAGGGUAAGGAUAGGUUAGAGUUAGCGAAUGUGUUAGGGUUAGGCUGAGGGUUAGCAUUAGGGUUAGGGUUAGGGUUAGGGUUAGUGUUAGUGUAAUGGAUAGGGUUAGAACUAGGGUUAGGGCUAGGGUUAUGGUUAGUGUUAGUGUUAGUGUUAGGGUUAGUGUUAGGUUUAGGGUUAGUGCAAGAAUUAAAGUUAGGGUUAGGUUCAGGGUAAGGGUUAGGACUUGGUUUAGGUUUAUUGUUAGGUUUAUAUUUAGGUUUAUAAAGCUAUGGUUGGGGCUCGCAUUAGGGCUAGAUUUUGGGUUAAAUUGGGGUUAGUGUUAGGGAUAGAGAUAAUGUAAGAACGAGGGUUAUGAUUCAGGCUGAUUUUAGGGUUACAUUUAGGGCUAAGUCUAGUUUUAUGGUUAGGUUAAGUUCAGGGUGAUGUUUUGAGCUAGGGUU